rnacentral:rRNA from 1 species
GAUGAACGCUGGCGGCGCGCCUAACACAUGCCAGUCGAACGAUUAAAGCACCUUCGGGUGUGUAUAAAGUGGCGAACGGCUGAGUAACACGUGGGCAACCUGCCCCUUUCAUUGGGAUAGCCACGGGAAACCGUGGAUAAUACCGAAUACUUCGAGACUUCCGCAUGGAAGACUCGAGAAAGCUCCGGCGGAGAGGGAUGGGCCCGCGGCCUGUUAGCUUGUUGGUGGGGUAACGGCCUACCAAGGCAAUGAUGGGUAGCUGGGUUGAGAGACCGACCAGCCAGAUUGGGACUGAGACACGGCCCAGACUCCUACGGGAGGCAGCAGUGGGGAAUCUUGCACAAUGGGCGAAAGCCUGAUGCAGCGACGCCGCGUGCGGGAUGGAGGCCUUCGGGUUGUAAACCGCUUUCAGCAGGGACGAGGCGAAAGUGACGGUACCUGCAGAAGAAGCCCCGGCUAACUACGUG